GAUGAAGAACGUAGCGAAAUGCGAUACGUAAUGUGAAUUGCAGAAUUCAGUGAAUCAUCGAAUCUUUGAACGCAUAUUGCGCUCUCUGGUAUUCCGGAGAGCAUGCUUGUUUGAGUAUCAGUAAACACCUCAACUUCCAUAUCUUUUUUGAAAUGGGAGUUGGACUUGAGUGAUCCCAACGCUUUUCCUCACCGAAAAGUGGCGGGUUACUUGAAAUGCAGGUGCAGCUGGACUUUUCUCUGAGCUAUAAGCAUAUCUAUUUAGUCUGCCUAAAAAACAGAUUAUUACCUUUGCUGCAGCUAACAUAAAGGAGAUUAGUUCUUGUGCUGACUGAUGCAGGAUUCACAAAGACAGGCUUCGGCCGACUUUGUAAACUCGAUCUCAAAUCAAGUAAGACUACCCGCUGAACUUAAGCAUAUCAAUAGCGGAGG
rnacentral:misc_RNA from 1 species